rnacentral:tRNA from 1 species
AUUUAUAUAGUUUUAAAUAAAAUAUUAUACUUUCAAUAUAAAGAUAUUAACAACUUAAGCCCAAUUAAUUAUAAAUA